rnacentral:lncRNA from 1 species
AGGAUGGAAAACCUGCUUAACUGCCAGCUUCAGGAAGCCUCAGCAGUGCUGCACCUGAGAUAUUGCACUGCUGCUGCAUACAGAAGGACAAGGGUAUAGAUCAGUGACUCCAUUCAGAGGAGGCUAAGGUUGAUGCCAUUUAUCUGACCUCUGCUAGGUAUAUGGCCAACACAAGGCUCACUUGAGAAACAUUCAGGAAAAGAGGAAGAGGUGUUGAGCCUGUCUUAACUCUGGAUCAAGUUCUGAUGGCAAGGGUUUAACCGAGCUUGAAAAUGGCAACUUGACCCCUGGAAUCCCCUUCAGCAGUCAGUGGGUUGACACAGGAGGAAGCAAGGACACGAAGGUGAGAAGGACCAUCUAUGAGGUCUUUGUAGUUAGGAUCCUUGAAGAAGUGAAUAUUGCUUUUCAGCAGGUCUUUCGUAGUUGCAGCCCCAGUAGCAGUGCACAAGGAAGCAAUGGGACUGUGGUGGUAGUGGAGGAUACUCCCAUAGUUGAGAUUAUGCUGCUUUCAGCCAUCAGGAUCACCACUACCACCACAGAAAGUUCCAAGAAGAUGCAGACAAGCCAUUUGCUUCCCAUUUUCUUCUUGAACCCCCUUUGAAGACAGUGGCAUCAGCCCUUGGAGUGUGUCAUGGUGCUACUUGGCAGAGCCCAUACCUGCAGCCACAUCUCAUGCCAUUCUAUUUAGAAAUGCCAGGAUCUAUCCCCAUCCUGCAUCUGUGGCCUCCAGAUUGUCAGUUCACCCCAUCAAAAAUAUACAUGUGGAAAUCAAAGACCUUUAGGCACAGCCAAAGGUUCUAACUUAUCUCUUGAAGAGGCAAAGAAAUACAGUUUUCUCAGUGGUGUUGAAGAAAUGCUACCAGACCUGGGGAAGAAAGGGAAUUUGGUUGCUAGAACAUCUUUGUCACUUUCAGUAUAUGGGGAAUUUUUAAAUCUU